rnacentral:rRNA from 1 species
GAUGAACGCUGGCGGCGUGCCUAAUACAUGCGAGUCGAGCGAACAGACGAGGAGCUUGCUCCUCUGACGUUAGCGGCGGACGGGUGAGUAACACGUGGAUAACCUACCUAUAAGACUGGGAUAACUUCGGGAAACCGGAGCUAAUACCGGAUAAUAUAUUGAACCGCAUGGUUCAAUAGUGAAAGACGGUUUUGCUGUCACUUAUAGAUGGAUCCGCGCCGCAUUAGCUAGUUGGUAAGGUAACGGCUUACCAAGGCAACGAUGCGUAGCCGACCUGAGAGGGUGAUCGGCCACACUGGAACUGAGACACGGUCCAGACUCCUACGGGAGGCAGCAGUAGGGAAUCUUCCGUAAUGGGCGAAAGCCUGACGGAGCAACGCCGCGUGAGUGAUGAAGGUCUUCGGAUCGUAAAACUCUGUUAUUAGGGAAGAACAAAUGUGUAAGUAACUAUGCACGUCUUGACGGUACCUAAUCAGAAAGCCACGGCUAACUACGUG